CAUCACUGUCUGAAACAACGUUGUGGAUUUGUUGUUUAUUAUCAGUCUCCCUCUCAAGAAUGCAAGCUUUGUGAGGGCAGGGUCGUAAUCCUUUUUAAAGCUGUAUCCCCAAUGCGUGGGAGCUGGCCUUAGGAGAUAACCAAGGUCAUGGAGUGUCCUACUUAGGGAAGGAAUGCUGACCAACUGAUUUACAGCCUUGUUGCUUCUGGCCAGACUACCAGGUAGCCCGUUACUCAAGGUAAUUGUAGCAACCAGGUAAUGCUUAUCUGCCUACCUUAUCCUUUAUGUGCUUUGACCAGUCCAACCUGCAUACCCUACCCCUGAUACCUAUUCUUUUGCCUAAUGAAAAGGUUCUACCAGCUCUUUUUAAAAUGCCAGUCAAGGAAUUCUCUCUCUCUCUCUCUGUCUCUCUCUCUCUCUGCCUCCAUUACGUCUGGGCAUAAGCUCAAAUGAAGCCUUCUCUGGGAAAACUCUUUUGGCCUCUUGUCAAUUUCUAUUGCAUUGACGGCCCAAGAACCCAUGGUUAGUAGCAAUAGUUCAGAGAAAUGUUUACAUUGUGUUACUUGAUUUCAGUAGUCUUUACUAGGUUUUUUUCAGGAUGGGCUGGUGAACAAGAUGACAGUGUGUUUAAUUGGAUUUGCUUUUACUAUUACUCAUAACAUCAUAUGUUUUAAGACAUUAUAGUUUAUUACUGAAAAAUGAAAGGCAACAGGAGAUCUUAGCAUCUAAUUUAUCACAUAGGGGAUAUCUUUUCUCCGAUGAUAAGAAGCAUUGUUGUCAUUCUUCCUAGGUAUAGGCCAGUCACAAAGUUUAUUAGGGCCCAGAAGUCAGUGCAUUAUGACAUAAGUUUAACUAACCACCAUUGGCAUUAGAACUGGGGUUCUCAAGGCUGAUGGAAUCGCUAAGAAUGGUGCUGCUGAACAAAGAAGUCUGGGUCAUAUGAAGCUCUUUAAAUCUUAUCAAGUCUACUUUAGGCCUUCGAUUCCUAUAUGGAACUAGCCUCCUACGAAGUUGCCAAAGGAGCUGAGAGAAAGCUAGGGAAAUGAUGAGGAAACUGAGAUGAGAUAAGCUAGACCUAAAGAAGAAAAGCAGCCACCUCUCCUGCAGGGCCCUCCAUUCAGGGUCCUCCUGGAAAACCCCCUGGAGGAAGCGCUCCUGUUGCAGUCGGAGUGAAUGUCCGUCUUGUUUAACCACCAGCAGGGGGAUUCCUUUCUGGAGAGUCCACGUAGUCAUCAUCUCUUUGACCUCUGCAUUUUCCCCCAGAAAGGGCCCUCUACCUGGCUUCCGUCCCAGCCUCCAGCGUGUGCCCUUUCUGAUUGGCCUGGGAAAGAGUGCAAUGCAGAUAUGUUAGCAUUAAACCUGAUAAAAGAAUACAGAAAUGAUCCACACUACUGGGGCAUCUCGUAAAUAUUUUGUUUUCUAUGAUCAAGAAUCAUCUCUGAGGAACAAAUUAUUUUUUCCUGGGCUAACUGAAUUCCUCAGUGCUCAUUUAAGUCCCACAGAAAGAGAAAGAGGGAAGAAAUCAAAGCGAGUUCUAUGAGCAAAAAUGAAGACAAUAAUGUGGAAUUUGAACAUACCCAGUUUGGGGAGUGGAUAGUUGAUAUCAAAGUACUUUUCAUAAAAAUCAAGUAGCUUCAGUGA